rnacentral:misc_RNA from 1 species
UUGAUUAUUAGAAGCUUACUCAGAGAUUCAAUAUAAACAGAGUUUAGUAUGUCCACCGGCGGGCUACAGGGUAGUUCGCUACAGGUUAGCUACAGGGUAGCUUGGCCCGAAGCUCGCCACCUCACAGCUUGCGCCGAGGCAACAAAGAGAUAGGUUCACAAUGGUUUGGAGUUAGAUAACUCAGUAAUGAUCCCUCCGCUGGUUCACCAACGGAGA